UACGGAGGGUGCGAGCGUUACCCGGAAUCACUGGGCGUAAAGGGCGUGUAGGCGGGAUGUUAAGUCUGGCUUCAAAGACCGGGGCUCAACCCCGGGGAGGGGCUGGAUACUGGCAUUCUUGACUCCUGGAGAGGCAACUGGAAUUCCUGGUGUAGCGGUGAAAUGCGCAGAUAUCGGGAGGAACACCCAUUGCGAAGGCAGCUCGCUGGGACGUUACUGACGCUGAGACGCGAAAGCAUGGGGAGCGAACAGG
rnacentral:rRNA from 1 species